rnacentral:rRNA from 1 species
ACUCCUACGGGAGGCAGCAGUGGGGAAUAUUGGACAAUGGACCAAAAGUCUGAUCCAGCAAUUCUGUGUGUUUGAUGAAGGCCUUCGGUUGUAAGAACUUUCAGUGGGGAAGAAGCAAGUGACGGUACCCACAGAAGAAGCGACGGCUAAAUACGUGCCAGCAGCCGCGGUAAUACGUAUGUCGCAAGCGUUAUCCGGAAUUAUUGGGCAUAAAGGGGCGUCUAGGCGGUCUAAUAAGUCUGAUGUGAAAAUGCGGGGCUCAACUCCGUAUUGCGUUGGAAACUGUUAGACUAGAGUUUUGGAGAGGUAGGCGGAACUACAAGUGUAGAGGUGAAAUUCGUAGAGAUUUGUAGGAAUGCCGAUGACGAAGGUAGCUUACUGGACAAAUACUGACGCUGAAGCGCGAAAGCUAGGGGAGCAAACAGGAUUAGAUACCCUGGUAGGUCAGUC